UUCGGCAAUAGAGGCGCGAAGGCUAAGAGUAGCUGUCCUGAGACAACGGGGUCUGGGACGGGCAGGGAAAGGAGCAUUCGCCGAAACGGGGCAGUUCCCGAAAAACUGUCUGCGUUGGGGUACAGUCGAACAGGCUGUGCACUCUCACCGUACUGGUGGAGGAGCUAUUGCUUCA
rfam:Blautia sp. CAG:37, WGS project CBJJ01000000 data, contig: 127